UGGGACAGGGAAGGAGAAGACCACUCCAAAUCUUGUCCUAUCUCCCCACCCAGGGAUGAGAACUGCCCACCGGCUCAUGCCCUUACUGGGUGAUCAGUGAAGUAAGCAGAGCCUGCGAAGACUAGACUGAGGUUUCCACCAGCAUGGCAGUCUACUCCUGGCUCAACCUUGAGGGGUGGUCCAGGGCAAUUUUGGCCACAGUUGAAGAAAUGAUGCCACUAAGGGGAAGGAGAUGACUCAGGGGUAGAAGGAUACCUGAGCCUCCGUGCCGAAGAGGUCUUUUAGGUGCAGUGACCUAUGGCUCCUCCAUCUGGUCUGAGCAGCGUCAGGACUGUGUGUCCUGUUUGUGUCCACGUUGUCUGGCCAGCCAACUCCACACCCCUGCUCAGGAGGAAGGGCCAGGAAUCAGGACAUCUGGGCUGUGAUGGGCUGUCCAUUCCUGUGGCACUCGGAGUAAGGGUUUAUGCACUCCAGCCAGCAGACUGUACCCUGGCCCUCACACUAGCACCCCAGAGCACAAAGCUAAACAGAAUCAACUUCUCUGAAUUUGAAGAGUCUUCUGUGAUUUGCCAGAACUGUUGUGAUGAAGAUUUUUCUUGGACUACUAGGCAGCCAAGCAAUUCCAAACCCUCCUUGGGACAUCUACUUCCAUUCCUUCCACUGGGUUCUGUCUGAGAGCCUGCAACCGGCAUCUCGUGCAGAUUUCAAAAUCGAAAUUCAGCAUUAUCGUAAUUACACAGAAAUAGCAUCAUAAUAUAUUGUCGUGGUUUGUUCUGUCUCAUUUGUAUUGCCAAAAAUUUUUUUUUUGUGGCCCAAGUCCCACUGAAUAGACAUCCUUACUGCACUGCCUUCAUUUUGUCAUGAACUUAUUUUUCCUGAGAAGUUUAAUUUAAGAGUUAAUAUCAAGGACUUUUCUGUAGCUCCAUGAAAACUUAAGCAUGUCUGAACAACAAAAUUGAAAAGAGUUUGUCAAAAACAGAAUGUAUUCAGAAGAGACAGAUGCUUAAAUUUUCUUUUACUUACCUUGAACUGAACACUAUUUCUAGAGCUAAAAUUACAGACUUGCUUUGCUGCGGGCCAUGGAGCAAAUCAAACAAAAGCUUUCCUGGCAGCCCCCAAGCAAACCCGUGGCCCCAAGCGUCCGUCACUUCUGGGGGUUGUCACCACCGCUCUUCUCUCCAUAAAGAAGUAUAAUUAGGAAAGGACAAAAAUAGGAAGUCAAGCUGUCAGUCAUUUUAAUUCUUCAUUUUUUCUGAAUAGAAUAUUUUUCUUGGUCUAUUAAAAAAUACACGGCCACUCAUUCAGAAUCCCUUCAUUAAUGUGAGGCAUUAAUUCUAAUCUGUUUUGCCAUUUUGAAGAACAGUUUUCUGUUCAUUUGAAAGCCCACUCUCAUGAUGAGG
rnacentral:lncRNA from 1 species